rnacentral:rRNA from 1 species
UACGUAGGGGGCGAGCGUUGUCCGGAUUUACUGGGCGUAAAGAGCGCGUAGGCGGCUUGUUAAGUUGGCUGUGAAAGUCCCUGGCCUAACUGGGGAAAGUCGGCCGAGACUGGCAGGCUCGAGAGCGGUAGAGGAAGGUGGAAUUCCGGGUGUAGUGGUGAAAUGCGUAGAUAUCCGGAGGAACACCCGUGGCGAAGGCGGCCACCUGGGCCAACACUGACACUGAGGCACGAAAGCGUGGGGAGCAAACAGG